rnacentral:rRNA from 1 species
AGUGAACGCUGGCGGUAGGCCUAACACAUGCAAGUCGAACGGCAGCACAGUAAGAGCUUGCUCUUACGGGUGGCGAGUGGCGGACGGGUGAGGAAUACAUCGGAAUCUACUUUUUCGUGGGGGAUAACGUAGGGAAACUUACGCUAAUACCGCAUACGACCUACGGGUGAAAGCAGGGGAUCUUCGGACCUUGCGCGAUUGAAUGAGCGGAUGUCGGAUUAGCUAGUUGGCGGGGUAAAGGCCCACCAAGGCGACGAUCCGUAGCUGGUCUGAGAGGAUGAUCAGCCACACUGGAACUGAGACACGGUCCAGACUCCUACGGGAGGCAGCAGUGGGGAAUAUUGGGCAAUGGGCGCAAGCCUGAUCCAGCCAUACCGCGUGGGUGAAGAAGGCCUUCGGGUUGUAAAGCCCUUUUGUUGGGAAAGAAAAGCAGCAGGUUAAUACCCCGCUGUUCUGACGGUACCCAAAGAAUAAGCACCGGCUAACUUCGUG